rnacentral:rRNA from 1 species
AAUAGAUACCCAGGUAGUCCACGCCGUAAACGAUGUCGACUUGGAGGUUGUACCCUUGAGGCGUGGCUUCCGGAGCUAACGCGUUAAGUCGACCGCCUGGGGAGUACGGCCGCAAGGUUAAAACUCAAAUGAGUUGACGGGGGCCCGCACGAAGCGGUGGAGCAUGUGGUUUAAUUCGAUGCAACGCGAAGAACCUUACCUACUCUUGACAUCCAGAGAACUUGGCAGAGAUGCUUUGGUGCCUUCGGGAACUCUGAGACAGGUGCUGCAUGGCUGUCGUCAGCUCGUGUUGUGAAAUGUUGGGUUAAGUCCCGCAACGAGCGCAACCCUUAUCCUUUGUUGCCAGCGGUCCGGCCGGGAACUCAAAGGAGACUGCCAGUGAUAAACUGGAGGAAGGUGGGGAUGGACGUCAAGUCAUCAUGGCCCUUACGAGUAGGGCUACACACGUGCUACAAUGGCGCAUACAAAGAGAAGCGACCUCGCGAGAGCAAGCGGACCUCAUAAAGUGCGUCGUAGUCCGGA